rnacentral:rRNA from 1 species
UACGGGGGGUGCGAGCGUUGUCCGGAAUCACUGGGCGUAAAGGGCGCGUAGGUGGUUUGAUAAGGGUGUGGUGAAAGUCCGGGGCUCAACCCCGGAUCUGCCGUACCGACUGUCAAACUCGAGGGCUGUAGAGGCAGACGGAAUUCCGGGUGUAGCGGUGGAAUGCGCAGAGUAUCAGGAGGAACACCGGUGGCGAAGGCGGAGUCUCGUGGCAGUAACUGACGCUGGAGGAGCGAAAGCGUGGGGAGCGAACAGG